rnacentral:lncRNA from 1 species
CAGCUCCCAGCACUGCCAGUAACCAUCAGUAACUGUCCUUCCUGUAACUAUAUGUCUUCUGAUGGCUAUUGUACAACAAGAGCAGUGAGUUUAAAAUCCUAGAAACUGCCUGCCAGGAAAGAAGAAACCAUAUGCCUCAAGCACGAUAACUAAAGAGCUGCUAUUAACUACUUCUUCCUCAUCUUUUACACUAUCAUCUCUCCAGGAUAAUGGCUUCCCAGUUUUUCACUCCUCAUCAGAAAUGACCAAGAGUAGAAGUAAGGACAGACCUGCAAGCUGGGCGGGGUGCUGGACAGACAAGAACUGUGCCAGGUCUUACAGGCCCUAGAGGUACUCCAAAGUGCAUUUCCAUGGUACUUCCUUCAAGCAGGACACCUUCAUCAUGGACAAAUCUACAGUCACAGCCCAAAAGUGGGUCUAAGUGAAGAAAAAAAAGGAAUAUAAGUUAGAACUCUCACCCAAGGUGGGUAUCAUCCCAUCAGCCAUCUAUCUCCUUCUUCCCAGAUUUCUCUCAGAUCCUCCUGUUUUUCUCUGCCUUUAUUCCUUUCUCCUGAAUUUUCAGGAUGCAGAAAUAUAGUUCCCAACCUUUAUAGCAAAUACUCUGAUAGUACAG